rnacentral:lncRNA from 1 species
UGGGCGGCACCUAGGGCAAACUUGGUCCUCCUCCUCUUCAAGCCGUACGCCUCCCUCUCCUCUCCUCUUGGUUCAACCGCAAGCAACGGAAGAAAAGGAAAAGCCAUCGGCGGCCCCCUCCUCUUCUCUUCCUCCUUCCAACGCAAGGAAAAGGGAGUAGGCUGCAAGGGCUUUGGUUCUUCAUCCAGUUGCCUUCUUCUUCUUCCUCCUCUCAAGCAAAAUCAAGGGUUGAUUGAUAGAGAGGAAAUCAGCCAUCAAAAGAAGUCUUUGCAAGGGAGCUAGCACCCUGGAAAGACAAGAAAGCUUUGAUCGGUCCUCUGCAUCGUGUGGAUACCCGUAGAGGCCGGACGUUUGAACGGCUUCAAACGAACCUUCAUCCUAAAACCACGAACUUCAGUUUGUGGUGAUCAUCU